rnacentral:rRNA from 1 species
UUGGAGGGCAAGUCUGGUGCCAGCAGCCGCGGUAAUUCCAGCUCCAAUAGCGUAUAUUAAAGUUGCUGCAGUUAAAAAGCUCGUAGUUGAAUUUCGGGACCAUCAUGUCGGUCGUGCCUCGGUACGUACUGGCAUUGUUAGUUUCUACCUUCUGACGAACCAUGAUGUCAUUUAUUUGGUGUUGUGGGAAAUCAGGACUGUUACUUUGAAAAAAUUAGAGUGUUUAAAGCAGGCUCACGCUUGAAUACAUUAGCAUGGAAUAAUGAAAUAGGACGUUUGAUUCUAUUUUGUUGGUUUCUAGGAUCGACGUAAUGAUUAAUAGGGAUAGUUGGGGGCAUUAGUAUUCAAUUGUCAGAGGUGAAAUUCUUGGAUUUAUUGAAGACUAACUACUGCGAAAGCAUUUGCCAAGGAUGUUUUCAUUAAUCAAGAACGAAAGUUAGGGGAUCGAAGACGAUCAGAUACCGUCGUAGUCUUAACCAUAAACUAUGCCGACUAGGGAUCGGAUGAUGUUAAUUUUUUAAUGACUCAUUCGGCGCCUUACGGGAAAC